rnacentral:ncRNA from 1 species
UCCGUGGCGACGCGGAAUCUAAAGAAGCUGGAUGCAAAACAAUGGUUCGAGGAACACGAAUCUCAUAGAAGGCUAGGUAUGAUAGGAUGAGUUUGUAUAACAAACCAAAGUCCUUUCUGUCCAAGGUCAUCAUUUUGAUGAUAUAUACAAAGUAUAGUUAAGAUAACAAG